rnacentral:rRNA from 1 species
GGAUGGGCUCGCGUGACAUUAGCUAGUUGGAGAGGUAACGGCUCACCAAGGCUACGAUGUCUAGGGGCUCUGAGAGGAGAAUCCCCCACACUGGUACUGAGACACGGACCAGACUCCUACGGGAGGCAGCAGUAAGGAAUAUUGGUCAAUGGAGGCAACUCUGAACCAGCCAUGCCGCGUGCAGGAUGACUGCCCUAUGGGUUGUAAACUGCUUUUGUCAGGGAAUAAACCUUUCUACGUGUAGGAAGCUGAAUGUACCUGAAGAAUAAGGAUCGGCUAACUCCGUGCCAGCAGCCGCGGUAAUACGGAGGAUCCAAGCGUUAUCCGGAUUUAUUGGGUUUAAAGGGUGCGUAGGCGGUCCUAUAAGUCAGUGGUGAAAGACGGCAGCUUAACUGUCGCAGUGCCUUUGAUACUGUAGGACUUGAAUCUAUUUGAAGUGGGCGGAAUAAGACAAGUAGCGGUGAAAUGCAUAGAUAUGUCUUAGAACUCCGAUUGCGAAGGCAGCUCACUAAG